GGGAGAUUGGCAGCUGGGUCAAACAAAGUCCUUCCAUUGGCUCCCUUCCCAGGCAGCUUCUGCUAGUGUUUAGGUACUAGUGCAGUGUAGAACCCUUUUCUCAGGCAAAACCUAACAUCUGACCGCACCCUUUUUGCUAUUAAAAAAAAAAAAAAGCUUCUAUUUUUUUCCUCCUGUCGUUAAGAUAAAUUCUCCAGUAGACAACCUCUCCCACUAAUUGUGUAUUAGCAACGUAUUUUAUCUUGAGAGCUUGUACACUGGGCUCUCAACGUGGUGUGGAAGGUAGCCUGUUACAGUGCUGGAUUCAUAAAAGGGCCUUUAUGGUUUGUGAAAGAAUAUCUGUGUGCUUAGGGAGGAAACUUUUUGAUCUGCAGAAAAGCCAGAAGACAUCUAGGACAUCCAUAAAAAUUCAUCAGAGAGCAUUUUACUACUGAGCUGCAAAGAUGACAAGAGCACCUCAAAGGCAGCAGCCUCAAGGAGCAGCCAUGGCCCCAGACUUGUCGCACGGAUGCAGAAAACUUAAUGGAGGAGGCUGAGCAAAACAGAGCGUGACACUCCCAAUCAUCUGCAUGCUGGAAAUGAGGAAAUGGUUAUUGAAUGAUACAAGUGCUUUUCGAUCAUUUAGAAAGUUCUGUUUCCCAAGAUCUUUUUUUUUUUUUUUUUUUUUGAGACGGUGUCUUGCUCUGUCACCCAGGCUGGAGUGCAGUGGCGCGAUCUCGGCUCACCACAACCUCCACCUCCUGGGUUCAAGCGAUUCUCCUGCCUCAGCCUCCCGCGUGGCUGAGACUACAGGCAUGUGCCACCAUGCCCGGCUAAUUUUUGUAUUUUUAGUAGAGACAGGGUUUCACUAUGUUGGCCAGGCUGGUCUCAAACUCCUGACCUCGUGAUCCGCCCGCCUUGGACUCCCAAAGUGCUGGGAUUACAGUUGUGAGCCACUGUGCCCGGCCUAGCAAGAUCACUUUUUAAGUAUCCAGAAAGCUCUUUCUUAUGUUGAAUUAUGUCCAGAGGCAUAACUAGACUGAAGGUUUAGACUCCAUUCAUUCUCCUAUGUUUUUGUUCUUAACUGCAUUCUGCAGUCAAAUCAGGAGCUUUAGAAAAUACUGAUGCCUGGCUCUCAACCAGAGAGAACUGAACUGAAUUGGUCUGGUGAAUUCAUUAAAAGAGCUAACAACAAUGAAGUUAAUGUACGCAUCUCACCUCUCAAGAGUAUUAACAGGCCAGGCGUGUUGGCUCAUACCUGUAAUCCCAGCACUUUGGGAGGCCAAGGCGGGCGGAUCACCCAAGUCUGCAAUGGCUCCCUAACAUAAUUCCAGAGAGCAUAUGAUGUGCUAGGCUCUGUGUAGGGGACAGGAGCACAGUGGUAAACCAACGUAAAGGUAAGUUUCUAGAAUAAUUAGUAAUAUGUUUAGAAUAAAUACAAAUAUGAAAAUCAUUGGAAAAUUAAAAGAGUUAAAUGUUUAAAAAAGAUUUACAAAUCAACAAUAAUUUGAUGUUAAAAUAUAGAUUAUAUUGACAAAAAGUAGAAAGGGAAUGUGGAUGUGAAGAGAGGGAAUAAAAGGAGUACAAAAGGAAAGAUGUAUUCAUAUUUUUGUCCUAAUUGGGCAGGGAAAACUGUGCUGCUUCAUUCUUGGCUUUGAUACUAACACAGGUAUAAAGUAUAAGAAAUAUAUGUAGACAUUUUAAGGAGACGUACAAAAUAAAUAUAAAAUAUAAACAUUGUGUAUAAUUAUCAAAUCACUAGUCAAGAAUCAUAUAAUUUAAAUAACUAAAAUCAAGGCAAUAAAAGUCAAAGUUAAUAACUGUUAUUUAUUAACAGUUAUUUAAGGACUUGUACCCUAUAAACAGAAACUAUACAUUUUUCAAGCAUCUAUGAUUUACCAAAAUAGACUAGUAUUAGUUAAGAACAAGAUAAUAAUAAUAAAUAACAGAAAUUUCAGGAAUUACAUAAGGUCACAACUUAAUAAUACAAAAAAAAUAAUCUUUUCAUAAAAACAUUCCCCAAAAAUAUUAAAAACAAACAACAAAUCAAUAACAACAUUAAAAUAAGCAAACCAUUUGCCUAAAUAACUGUUGUGACAAAAGGCAAACUAAACCAUAACUGUAGGCCAUUUAAGAACCUACUAAAUUACAGCACCACGUUUCAACACUGAUGUAUUACCAAAGCUCUUCUUAGAGACAAAUUCAUAGGCUUUAACAGUCUAUUAAAAAGAAGUAUAAAAGAAUCAUGUCUUUAUCACAGGAACUUAACUGGACUACAAUAAAGCAAAGAUGAAACUUAGAAAGAACACAAAUUUAAUUGCAUUAGAGAAAUUGGAAAAUCAACAAGUAAAUCACAGAACUAAUAUUUUUAAAGAAAAAAAUUCGUUACUAUUUUAAAAGGAAUAAGCAGCAGGAAAAAAAUGAGAAAGAAUACAACACGCAGAAAAUUUUUAAAAAAUACUGAGGGUAAUGUUUAAGAAGGUAAUUGCAAAUUUCUAGAAGAAAUGCUAGCAAAUGUAAUUUGUAUAGGAUGUUAAAACAAUACUUAAUAAUGCAGUACUACAUUAUCUUAGCAAUACAUAGAUGAUUUCAAUAAUCAAUUUAUAAUAUUUGACUAUAUAUAGCAGCAUUCUAUCUCUCCAUGUAUUCAAGUUUUCUUAUAGGACUCAUAAAUAUGUUUUAAUAGACUUCUGGCAAGUUUAUACUUUUGUGAAAAUUAGAAAGAUUUUUUUCCAUUACAUUUUUUACCUGGUUAUUGCUGGAUUGGAAGAGUCACAAAAUUCCACGCACACAACUUGGAUGUAAACAAAAAAUACAGCACACAUAAUCUGGUCUUUUUCUGAAUUCCACGUCCAAAAUUUGGCAGAAAAAAAAAAGUGUUCAAUCUCCUGUGAAUCUACUCUGAUCUGCUAUACUAAAAAAUACUUAGUCUUUUUGUGCUGCAUUUUUCCCCCCUUCCCCAUUAUCUCCUCCUAAGCCUUGCCUGGGAAUUGCAAGCCCACCAGAGAUCCUAUUCUGUCACUAAGCAAAAUCUGAUUUACAAUUUUGGCUGAGGAGAGGGAACAUAUUAAAACAUAUCAACAAUUUUAGAAUCAAUAUUAUUAAAUUUCAUGUAGGUUUUAGAAAUGUUUUACUUGUAUACUUUAGACUUCAUUUUAUAAAAUUACAUUUUUAAAACUUUUUACAUUUUUAGGAAAUACAUGUUAGCUAAAAAACUGUGUUUUGCUCCCUGCUACGUUUGCUUAUCCUAUCCUUCAUUACUCCUUGGAUUUUAGUCUAACUGGUCUUGGGACAUGCCUCUUCCCCACAAACACCCCCACCACCAUACCACAUUGCUGUGACACAUUUAGCUUGUUAAUGUGGUAAGAGUGGAGCUCACUUACAGAAUUUUUGCAGACUAGACCUUAGGCUACAGGUCUUUACCAUGGAGCAGAAAAGUGGUAUCUCAAACCUCAUCCACAAAGGUUGAUCUAGUCCAAGCCCCUCUCCAGGUUCAUGUCCAUGUACAGCUUUGUUCUUAUUGUAACAACCUACAUUUUAGAAUAGGCAACGAAGACCAUUACCAAGAGCAGUAGGAGGGGCAACCUUCGGCUGUUUGUUUUUCAGGAUCUCAACUUGUGAACUUACUCUUCUCUUCACAGAAUGGGAUAACUGCCUGGCACUCACCAAGCUACACUUGAAGAGGAUCAAUCCAUGUCAUCAUGUCCCCAAUUUCAUAGCACCAAGUAUUUUGUUUAUUCACAAAUGCCCUAUUAUGGACAUCUAGCAAACAAUGAUACAUCAGAAAAGGAGAUGUGCAUAAAUUUUCAUGGAAUAAGGUUGUGGAAAAUGCACUAGAAUCAACAAACAUGGGGACUAAUUCAACUCGGAUAUCAUGUCUUCAGAGAAGUUUCUCCUGCCCUCCUCUCCCUGUAGAAUUAAGUAUUCUUCCACUGUGCCACCCUCUAACUUGUGCUCAUAUCUUCCUCUAUUGUAGUUAUGUGUUCACAUCCCUGUUGUUUUUGUACCGGCUUCUCCCAAAGGGAGACAUUUAGUCUUAUUCUUCUUGGUAACUUUAGCACAGACCUGGCAGAUUGUUGACACUCAACAAAUGUUUAUUGACUCAAAUGCAUUCAGUUGAACAUUGACCUUUGAUCAACUCUGGGAAAAGUCUGCAAAGCUAGUUAGGACAUUCAGAAAUUCAUUUCAUUUCAAUCCUAACUAAAUAAAUUAUUGAAGUCUCAGAACUUCUCAGUACUUGAUUUAGACACAUAGAAACUUGGGUAAAUAACACCUAUAUUGUUAUAUUCCUCAAGAAAAAGUUUAUCUUUUCAUGAAAUGAAUCUACUGAGGAUAUUUAUAGAAACUGAAUGUAAGUGAGCAGAAUAAAGUGGUGUGUGUGUGUGUGUGUGUGUGUGUGUAUGUAAUUUGAAGAGUAGGUGGGAGAAGGUUGUGAUAGGAUAGCAGAUCUUGUUUAUGAUAGUCACCAGCUAUAACAGACACUGCCUGAUGCCUUUCCAAUAUCCACUUCCCUUUUCUUUUUUUUCUUUUUGGAACAGAGUCUCACUCUGUCCCCCAGGCUGGAGUGCAACAGCACGAUCUCGGCUUACUGCAUCCUCUGCCUCCUGGGUUCAAGCAAUUCUCAUGCCUCAGCCUCCCUAGUAGCUGGGAUUACAGGCUCUCGCCACCACGCCCAGCUAAUUUUUGUGUUUUUAGUAGAGACGGGGUUUCGCCAUGUUGGCCAGGCUAGUCUUGAACUCCUGACCUCAGGUGAUCCACCUGCCUCAGCCUCUCUAAGUGCUGGGAUUACAGGCGUGAGCCACCGUGCCUGGCUCUCUUUUCUUACUUAAUGUCUGUGUCAAUUAAAUAGAAAUGUAUCAAGUUAAAAACCUUGCCUCGGUAGCUUCCAGUGCAAAUAAAGGUACCCAUGCCACCCCAUUCUGGCCAGCAGUAAAAUUGAUGGAAGCCUCUGGUUGGGGCUUCAAGGAAAGCUUUAUCAAAAGAUAAACUCACUGGCUUUGUCCCUUAGUUCAGUGGUCCCCAACCUUUUUGGCACCAAGAGACCAGUUUUGUGGAAGACAAUUUUUUCCAUGGACCAGGAGGGUUCCGGGGGAUGGUUUUGGGAUGAAAAUGUUUCACCUUAGAUAUCAUCGGGCAUUCAAUUCUCAUAAGGAGCCUGCAACCUAGACCUCUCACAUGUGCAGUUCACAAUAGGGUUCAUGCUCCUAUGAGAAUCUAAUGCCACUGCUGAUCUGACAGGAGGCAGAGCUCAGGCAGUAAUGCUCACUAGUUCCGUUGCUCGCCUCCUGCUGUGCAGCCCAGUUCCUAACAGGACACAGACCAGUACUGGUUCGCAACCCAGGGUUUGGGGGCCCCUGUCUUAGUUCCUUUGCCUUCCUUCCAGAUGGAUGCCUGGAGGAACAAUCAUCCCGCAAUUGUGAAAAUUGAAGCCAUAUUUUAAAGUUGGUUUCAAUUGUAAUACAGAAGAAAUCUGGACCUUGAUGACAUUUGAGCUAGAGUACUAAUCUUGAUCUUCCUAUUCAUGAGCUUGUUGCAAGAGACAAGACUUUUACUGAUUUAACUCAUUGUUGGGAUUUCUUGGAACUAAACACAGUCAUAAUACAUUUUUUCCUUCCCAGGAAAAUGGUAGAGCAUGACUUUUCAAAUCUAAUAAAACUCAUGUGUAGCUAAAACCACUCUACUGAAACAAUUCCAUCUCAGCCCAUGGUACAAGGGAUUUUCCUGAAUGAAAAAUGGUGUCUGAUCAUUUUGUUGGUUUCUUUGUUGGUUUUUCCUGAAACUUAGGGUUAAAGAAUCCAGGAAAGUUGUCUUAGAUAGAGUUAUAAUUUCCGUGGACAUCAACUGAUAAAUGCAAUUACAGUUUGUAUGCCUAGGUUUGGCAAAAAUCAUAUAAGCAACAUCCCUCACAUAAUAUUGUUUUAAUUAAAUUUUAUUUCUUUCUUGGUAUGAAACAUACUGCAGAAGCACAAUCAAUGAACAUUGGAUAGUUUCCUUAAAUCUUGCUCUUUGUCCUAUUUAUAUAAUUUAUUGUGUCAGUGGUUCUCAAGUGGUAUGCUCCUGCAACUCAUCAUCUGAAAAUCCUUCCCAGAUGUGCUGAAAAAUUUUCAUUAAUUUGUAUAUUCUAUUUUAUUUUUAUAACUAAGUACACAUGCUUGUGACUGGAAGAGAAGACACCCCUCAUUUAAUCCCAGAGGAAUAUUUGGCCUUGAUUCAUGCCCUGCUCACUCCACCCCAUUAUUAAGAUAGAGAUCGCUGAAGAAAUCCCUGCUCUAUAAAUGUAGCUGAUCCAAAAACAAAAUGGAAAUUCAUUAUUUUAAAUAUUUCUACAAGAUCUUUGUACAACUCUAUUUUUUUUUCCUAUUAAGAAUUACAUGAUUCUAGAAUAAGUUCCAACCCUAAGUAUCAACACUGGAACACAAUUUUAAAACAGGAGGCGAUUAUCUCUAUAGUGAGAUUUAACUACAGAGGUGAUAGCUCUGGUUAGUGAAUUUCAGGACUAGAAAUCAGGCCUGCUGUCUCUUAGCUUAGAGGAGGUAUAAUAAGAAGAGGAUUAGAACUACUGUGUAUAUUAACAAGAAGAACUCUAUUAUGUUCAGCUAUCAUUAUAUAUGAUAUUAUGUUUCUUUUUAUGAACUAUAGUUCACUGUCUUUAAGCAUAAUGUUUGCCCAAGGUGGGGGUGUUGGUGUGUGUCUGUGUGUAUAUGCAUGUGUGCACAUGUGUGUAUGUAUAGUUGAUUCAUUCAUUCUGACCUACUGAAUUUACUGAAGGAAUAAGAAGAAAUACCUUGAACUGAGGGACCUGGCUUAGCUCAACAUCUGUACCAUCUACCUUUGAGUAUCCAUUCCUUUACUAUGAAGCAUGGAUGCUAAAACUAAAAUUGCAUUUGCUAAACUACUUUGUAGCUAGAUUCCUGGGUGAGAUUAGAUUUGGUCAAUUAGAUGUUCUUGUGUAACAUUUAGAAGGUGAUAGUAAGGCAAAGGUCAUGUGACUGGCUGAUUUUAUUUAUGUUCAAUGAUCUUUAUUGGGGUACACUUUAUAUAUAAUAAUAAAUAAUGCACACAUUUUAAGUGUACAAUUUGAUGAGUUCUGACAAAUUUAUAUGCAUGUAUAACCAGCAUCAAUAUCAAGAUAUAUAAUGAUCCCCUCAUUCCAGAAUAGUCUCUUGUGUUCUUUCCAGCCAAUGCCCCACCCCUGGAUUCUGGCAACAAUUGAUCUGCUUUUUAUUACCAUGGAUUAUAUUUGUCUUUCCUAGAGAUACAAAUAAAUGAAAUAAUGUAGUGUGUCCUCUUUAACUUUGGCUUAUUUCUCUCGGCACACUAUUUCUGAAAUUUGUCCAUACUGUUGAUAUGGCAGACAGAAUUUUAAGAUGGUUCCUAAAAUUCUUGCCUCCUGGUAUGUAUAAUUUUCUCUCGGUUUUCCGCUGAACACUAACCUAGGUGCUAUUGUAAAGGGAUUUCUCAAGUGUAAUUAAAGUCCCUAAUAAGUUUAUUUUAAGUUAGAAAAAUUUUCCCAGGUGAGCUUGAGCUAAGUGAGUGACCUAAGCAGGUGAGUUGUUAGAAAAAAAUUAAGAGAUAUUUGAAGCGUAGACAAAAUUCUGUUGGCUUUUAAAAGAAAACUUCCAUGUGAUAGAGAAAGCCAGAUGAUAGGGAACACAAGGUUACCUCUAAAUUGACAACCAGCAAAAAAGCUGAGACUUCAGUCUUAUCAUCAUAAGGAAUUGAAUUCUGUCAACAGCCACGUGACCUUAGAGGAGGCCCCUGAGCCGCAGAUGAGAUCAUGGCCCUGGCCAAUACCUUAAAUUCAUCCUGGUGAGAUAUGAGCAGAGAACUCAGCUAUGCCAUGCUCAGAUUUCUCACCUGUAGAGCAGUAAAUUAAUAAGUGAGCAUUAUUUGAAGCUGCUAAGUUUGUGGUGAUUUGUUACACAUCAAGAGAAAACAUAUGCUGUAUAUAUUAUUAGAUUUUUCCUUUAUAUUGGUGGGUGUAUUUGUUAUCUAUUACUUCCUAACAAAUCGACAAUAAUUAAGUGUCUUAAGACAACACAUAUUUAUUACCUCAUAGUUUCUGUGGGUCAGAAAUCUGGGCAUGGUUUAUGUGAGUUCUUUGAUUUAAAGUUGUUGGCAAAUCUGUAAACAAGGAAGCAGUCAGGACCGAGGUCUCAUCUGAAAGUCAACUUGGGAUGGGUCUGCUUCCAGCCUCACUUAACAUAACAGCUGGCAGGAUUCAGUUGCUCUUGGGUAGUUGGAUUGAUGGCCUCAGAUAACUAGGUAGCUAUUAGCUAGAUUUCACCCUCAGUUUGUUGCCGUGUGGGCCUCCCUAAGGUGGCAAUUUACUUCAUCAAAACCAGCAAGGGAGAGAGUUGGCUACAAUCUCUAGUAAUGUAGCUACAGAAAUGACAUCCCCUUAGCAAUGAGAUAUUUUAUUAAUUAGAAAGAAAUUACUCAACAGGAGGGGAUUACACAAUGUAGUGAAUACCAGGAGGCUGAGAUCAGAAGGAGCUAGUGUAGAAGCUGCCUACCACAGUGAGUAGUAUUCUAUUACAUGAAUAUACCAGAAUGUCUGAAUCCACCCAACUGGGCAUAGACGUUUGUGUUCAUUCAAGAUACAGACUAUUAUUAUUUUAAAAAUAAAAGUUACUAUGAACAUUUAAGUAUAAGCUUUUGUGUGGGCGUGUUUCAUUUGUUUUGAAUGAAAUUGCAGGGUCGCAUAGAAAAUGCAUAUUUAAUCUUAUAAGAAGCUGCUUAAAAUGCUUUGCAAUGUGAUUUUACCAUUUUACACUCCCAACAAUGUAUAGCAAUAUAUCAUAGAUCUAGUGGUUUCAUAUCUCCACAAACACUUGAUAUUGUCACUCAGUUUAAUUGUAGCUACUUAAAUAGGCUUAUAAUGGUACUCGUUAUGAUUUUAAUAUGCAUUUCCCUAAUGCCUAUUAGGGACUAAUUAUGUUAAGCAUCUUUUCAUGUAUUUGGAGGCCAUUUGUGUACCUUCAUUUGUAAAAUAUCUGUUUAAGUAGCUUGCCCAUUUGGAUUGCUUUACAUUUUAUUAUAGAGUCAUAAGCAUCCUUUAUAUAUUCUGAAUAUAACUCUUUUAUCAGACAUACAUAUAUAUCAAAUAUUUUUUUCUAAGUUUGUGGUUUGUGUUUUUACUUUUUAUACUGUUUAUUGAAUAGUAGAUUUUAUAUUCAUUUUAUCCAUUCUGUUAUGAUCGAUAUUUUUUGAACUAUGAAAAUAUUGCUAUGUAAAAAUAAAAAAUAUAUUUUCAUCCCGAGUUUCAUAAUUUUAGCUUUCACUCUUAUAUCUGUGAUUCAUUCUGAGUUUUCUUGUAUAGUUUAAAGUCAGAGUGGGUGUUUGUUUGCUUAUUAAUAUAUUUAUAGAUAUUUCUAAUUCUUUCUAGCACCAUUUAUUAAAAAGUCUCUUUUUUUACCCAUUGAAUUAUUUUUUUUAAAUUGUUAUGUCUAAAAUCAAAUUACCAAAUACACAUUGUCUAUUUUGAACUAUUUAUUCUGUUUCAUUGAUUUUUAUGUGUUCCUUUACACCAAUAUCAUUGUCUUAAUUACUGUAGAUUUGUUGGAAAUAUGGGAGUCAAAUUUAAGGAUUUCAAUUUUGUCCUUUUAUCAAGUUGUUUUGGCUGUUCUAGGUCCUUUGCAUUUCCCUAUAACAUUUGGAAUUAGGUUGUCAAUAUUUCCCCAGAAUAAAGCCUGCUGGGAUUUUGAACAGGAUUGCAUGGAAUCUAUAAAUCAAUUUAGUGAGAAUUAAUAACAUAUUAAGUACUCUAAUUGAUGAACAUAGUAUCAUCUUCCAUUUAUUUAGUCUUUGACUUCUCGGAAAUGUUUUAUAGUUUUCAGUGUGUAGGUCUUGAAGUUUGUAAAAUUCUAAGUGUUUUAUGGUUUUGACUGUAAUUGUAAAUACCUCCCAUUGUUCAUUGUUAGUACAUAGAAAUAAAAUAAAUUUUGUAUUAAUUUGUCUCAUGCAAUCUUCUAUACUCACUUCUUUCCAAUAGUUUUAUGUGGAAUUCUUAG
rnacentral:lncRNA from 10 species